GGGGUCUUUAACCGGGACGGAAAUGGCCUUGGCAACUAUGGCGGCAGAGCGGGGCUUGGCGGUACGUCCUCGCUGGACCGUCUCCCAGCCCUCAGCAUCCUUUUUACCUGGAAAACACGAGAGGGGCGCUGGUUUGUUGACUGGCGGUGGGGACGGACUGAGUGGACUUCACUCGGUCCGCCCAGCUGAGGUCUGUGUGGGACAGCCGUGCUACAGCCAGUGUAGGUGGGGGACCACUGAGGAAGACAUAAGACACACAUCAUGCAGGAGAACGAACAACAGUGAACCUAAAAAACCAAGCCUUCACUUUCGGCAGGUGACGUAGAUCUCGUCCACAGCCCGCCGCAGGUUGUCAAAGA
ensembl:lncRNA